ACUCCUACGGGAGGCAGCAGUGGGGAAUAUUGCACAAUGGGGGAAACCCUGAUGCAGCCAUGCCGCGUGUGUGAAGAAGGCCUUCGGGUUGUAAAGCACUUUCAGUAGGGAGGAAGGUAGUGUAGUUAACACCUGCAUUAUUUGUACGUUACCUACAGAAGAAGCACCGGCUAACUCCGUGCCAGCAGCCGCGGUAAGUACGGAGGGUGCGAGCGUUAAUCGGAAUUACGUGGGCGUAAAGCGCAUGCAGGCGGCCUGUUAAGUCAGAUGUGAAACGCCCGGGGUCUUAACUCGGAAUUGCAUUUGAAACUGGCAGGCUAGAGUCUUGUAGAGGGGUUAGAAUUUCGAGGUGUAGCGGU
rnacentral:rRNA from 1 species